rnacentral:lncRNA from 1 species
UUUCCCUCUUAGCCGCGCCACCACUCAGCGGUCAGUUUUACCGCUCAGCGGUUUGCCUCUAAUCGCUUUGACCGCUCAACGUUGAUUUUGGCCGCUGAGCGGUUCAUAGACUCUUCUUUUCUUCCUUUUUCUUCCUCUUUCUUGAGUCUAAGUCCGUCCUAAUUCACUUCCACCUUCAAUUCUCAUCAAAACCCUACAAAACAAUGCAAAAAGAAGCAUAAUAUCUCUAAAACC